UUAUCCUAGGAAACGUAAAAAUGGGGGAUUUGAAAUUUGGUUCCUACAACAUUCACCUCUAAAUGACAAUAAGGGAAAAAUAAAAAUUUCAUAGAAUUUUUUUUCACUUUUAGUGCUAACGCGAUACAUUAUAAAUUUAGGAUAAUUCUAACGUGCGAGCGUAUGGAAUGGGGCUUUUUUAUGGAACGUUGAUCUUCAAUUAUGGGCCUUAAAGUAGCCUCCAGCACGGAGUGCAAAAGAUGAACCUGUGUAUAACUAAAAAAAAAUUUCGUUAGAUCUUCUUUAAUCAUCAAUGUCUUUUUUUUUUGGUAAAUCUCACGAUCGUUCUUGCGAAAGCUGAAGUUGAGAAAGAUGUCGCAAUUAAGGUGAAAUUGAAGGCAAAACAGUAGUGAGAAUCAACUAUUGUUGAGAUCUGGAGUCAUCGCUUGCAAAAGAUAUGGGAUUCGAGUUUAAUCACCUCUAAGGCAAGCUCAAGAGGACGUAAUCCCAAUAAUUUUUGGCGGUGAACCUCUAUAAAUCGUUGUAAUGGCAAGGGAAAGGUCGACCAACCAUGAGUUGGAGAGCGUGAAGCGACGUGUACAUGUUCGGCCUACCUGACUGUCACGGCUAGGGUUGUUUGAGGAAUUACUAUAAAUGGCUGAUUUUGUCGCUUAGGUCGACUUUAUUGUUAUAAACUUUUGAACUGUAAUACAUUUUGUAUCAGUAUUUUGGGAUCAAAAAUGUAUAAUUUUUAUGAUUUUAAUGAAUGUCCAAAUCUUUAUAUCC